rnacentral:tRNA from 1 species
GCGGAUGUGGUGGAAUGGUAGACACGUUAGAUUUAGGUUCUAAUGGCGCAAGCUGUGGGGGUUCAAGUCCCUUCAUCCGUA